ensembl:lncRNA novel transcript
CACUCUGUACAUCUUUCUGAACUCAAUGAAUUAUACACUAUUGCUGCUUAAUUGCUUUCAGAAAUGGACCCCUGCACAGGUGGGAAUGGAUGUGUUCACAUAUGUCAGAGUGAGAAUGGCACGGCCAGGUGUGCCUGUCAUGCAGGGUACCAGCUGCCUGAAGAUAAAAACAUUUGUGAAGAUAUAAAUGAGUGUGCUGAAGGUCUUUCUUACUGUGGCCACUGCUGUGUAAACUCUAUGGGAUCUUUCACUUGUGCCUGCCAAACUGGCUUUGAGCUGGG